GCCCCUUCAGCGUUUUGGGGAAAAUAGCUUUCACAAGUUCUUCAUUUUAAAAACAUAAUUAAUCUCCGCUGAGAAAGUUUCCAGCAUAACCACGUAACUCAAAUUUCCCCGUCUGGCCCUUUGCCGUCUCCACUCAGGGAAUCGGACAACCUUAAGGGCGACUUGGCAGUGUCCCCACUGGAUGUUACCUAAAUAGCAGUUUAGUGAGAUCAGCACCCACCCCCCACGUCUGCGUCCGUCGUUCUAUUUCUCUUCAGUUAUGCAACAGCCUCCGAUAAUGUGCUGUUUCUCAACCUAACCCGGCACAAUCUCAGCACCCGCCCUCUCUGUGCCGCGGUUCCGGCCGCAUUGGUUACUCCCUUGUGCCUAGUUGGGUGCUCCCGUUCGCUGUGCGGUCGAGCGUCCUGUCAAUCACGCGCUUCCUUUUUUUUCCACUCAGGCUUGGUUGCUCGGCGGCUGACCUACUAACACACAUCUCGGGCACCAGCAGCGGCAGACGUGUGGCUUUAUGUGGAGAGGCAAGGCGAGGUUUUCAAUGGGAAGUCGAACAGAGAAAACUACAAAGUAAACCCAGCAGCACUUUCACUGUUCACAAGCAGCUUUGCUUCGGCACUUACUGAUCGCAUUGGAUGGUGCUUCGCGAGUACAAAGGAGUAUGUUGUAGGCGUUGGUGUUGGGAACACGUGAAGGGCAGCGGCUGCAUUCCUUUGUUCAGGGUGGAUUGGAGUGAAGAGCAAGUCGAAGAGCUGAAUGAGGAUGAAUCAGCCGCAGGAUCAGCUCGGAUGCUGCUUUAGUCACGUAUUCUGAUUCUCACUGUCGCAAUCCAAUGAGAGGGAAAGAAAACACACACAGAGGCAUCCACGAAACAAAGAGAAAAAACCCAAAAGGAUGACUGACAGAAAAAUGUUAGAAUGCCAAAGCCCCCCCCCCCCCACUAUACUAACAUGUGAAACUUUAUUUGUGAAGGCAGGCUCUAUUAUUAUAACUGAAAAAGAAGUAUGAUGUACUGAGAGUAUUCUUUUAGUUCAGUAAAUAUUUUAGCUUGAAAAUUGUAAAUGUAUUUAUGUACAAUAUGUUAUUAAAUGAAGAGGGAAGAACUAAGAUGAUGUUUUGGAUGGCAUGAUGGCUCAUCUAGUAGUCACAGAACCAAAGACUCAGGUUCAGUCCUGUACUUGGAUUUUGACUCUGGAAUAUGCAUAUUCUCCCUUUGAAUAUAUGGGUUUCCUCUGAAUGGUCUGGUGUCCUCCCAUCUCAAAGAUGUGUUGGCUAGUAGGUCAAUGGCUACAGUAAAUUGCCCCUAGUGAGUAUACGAAAGGUAGCAUCUGGGGAGAGAAUGUAAAGAAAAAGGAAAGAAUGAUAAGCAGGUGAGAAGAAUGAAAAAGGGGGACUUAUGUGGGAUUAUUAUAAAUGAGUGAUUGAUGGUCAGUGCAACUCUCUACGACAUUAUGACAACAACUGGUUCAGUAAACAAAUAUUUUACUACAUCACUGAAUUAAUUUUAUUUGUUAGUACAUUUUUGAAGAGAGUGAAAUUCAUUAACUUGUGGGGAAUUGAUACUUACGCCAGUCUUAAAGAUCGUAUAUUUCAAUAAGAGUAGAUGAGGUAACAUAUAUAGUUAAGUGUUUGUAGACAAAUUUGAAUAAAAUAUUAGUGUUAAGUAUUAAUCAUCACUUCACUUACAACAUUUUAAAAAAUCUUAAUACUUAAUAAAAAUCUUUAAUAAAAUUCAUCAUGCAACUUACAUGAAGGUUGGGAAAUGCUCACAUAAAUUAUGAAUUUAACAGGAAAUUAUUGUUAAAUAAUUUUGUUAUGUUUUUUCCAUUCAGCCCCAAACUUGGUUACAUUCCUCAUUAUUCAUUUUUUUCCCAUAAUGAAGCAUAAUAACCAUAGAUUGGGUAUUAACCAUUCACUUCCCGCUGUGGAAAUCGUUGUAUUCAUUUGUAAACAGGUAAACUCAAAGAACUAAAGUAAAUGUUUCAGGAAGAACUGGAUUGAAAUUUUCAUUAAAGGUCUGAACUGCUGACCGGUUCAUUUAUUGGAAAAAGUAUUUCACCCAUGAUUUCAGUAAUCAACAGUUCUUGGGGUUUCCCUUUGCAGAAAUUAUUUAUCUUAUGAAUAAGAAGGUAAUGCUCUACUGAGUAUUGAAAAUCUGCAUUAAAAGAAGUAAAAGUAUAAAACAAUAUUUAUUUGGGAAGCUGUUCCUCCUCCAGAGUUGAAGAAAAUUAAUGAUAGCUGAAAUAGGCAAUUAGCGACGUUGUUAAAAGGUGUAUUUUAUCCUAAUUAAAGAACAUUCCAGAAUUGUUGGUAUUCUUGGAGAUAAUCAGUCAGUUAUUUUUACAUAUAUCUAAGUAGUAGAUUAAAUUAUUGGAAAAAGGGAAUGAAGGCUCAGUCGGUAUCCAAUUUACCAUCAACAAUACUUGAAAGACAGAAUUUGAAAAUUGAAUAAAAUCUGAAUUAAUAUAAUCUACCAUUUCAUUCAUAACAAAUCUGAAGCCUUGGCUCCCUAUUAAUUUAAACUAUAUAAAGUUUCAGCAAAGUACCUAAGAGUAUAAUGGAAUAUCACAGCCAUUGAAAUAUUUUCUACCGAUUUGUUUUAAGUCUAGAACUUGCUUUCUUCUCCAUGUUCUCCUGAUGAGAAAAAAAUAAUGACUAAAAUUUAUAAAUGCUCAGUCCUGCUUUAGAUGUUUCAGCAGUAAUUCAUUAAAAUCAUUUAAUUACAAAAGGAAGAUUAAAAUUGGAGAGGGCAAUUUUGUAGAGAAGUAAGACCUGUCAUGUUUAAAUAUGAUGUUUAAUUGGAAAUGGGGGGGGGCGGGGAGGGAGAGAUUUCAUGC